AUUGAACGCUGGCGGCAUGCCUUACACAUGCAAGUCGAACGGCAGCAUGAUCUAGCUUGCUAGAUUGAUGGCGAGUGGCGCACGGGUGAGUAAUACAUCGGAACGUGCCCUGUAGUGGGGGAUAACUAGUCGAAAGAUUAGCUAAUACCGCAUACGACCUGAGGGUGAAAGUGGGGGACCGCAAGGCCUCAUGCUAUAGGAGCGGCCGAUGUCUGAUUAGCUAGUUGGUGAGGUAAAGGCUCACCAAGGCGACGAUCAGUAGCUGGUCUGAGAGGACGAUCAGCCACACUGGGACUGAGACACGGCCCAGACUCCUACGGGAGGCAGCAGUGGGGAAUGUUGGACAAUGGGCGAAAGCCUGAUCCAGCAAUGCCGCGUGUGUGAAGAAGGCCUUCGGGUUGUAAAGCACUUUUGUCCGGAAAGAAAUGGCUCUGGUUAAUACCUGGGGUCGAUGACGGUACCGGAAGAAUAAGGACCGGCUAACUACGUG
rnacentral:rRNA from 1 species